rnacentral:lncRNA from 1 species
UAGACUUUUUCUGGAUGUACUCGGAUUUAUUUCAUGUUUCAAUAUAUUCGGAACCGUUGUUUUAUACGUUGUAGCAAAAUAUUUUAUGGGAUAAUUUAACUGUGUACCAGCUUUUUAAAAGAUUAAAUUAUUUUCGAUCUACUUGGUGAAUGAGAUGAAGGAAAAAAACAAACCCCCCGCGCCGCGUCGACCGGGACCGACCUUGUUCGCCGCCGGCGCCUUCUCGCGCGGCACUUGAUUCCCACCGGCCGCCGCGCUAGGCUUGGCGAGUGCGCGUCGCCCGUCGGCGCCGGCGGCGGCUUCCGCCCGCCCGGACUACCGCAUCCUCCUGCUCUCUCCUGGGACGACGAGUCUCUCUUCCUGUUCCGGUGUCCCGGCGUGUUCCGGGCCUUCGACCCGGUGGGUGGGUCAUCGUGCAGGCCGCGCCUCUCCCCUGGAGCAGCAGAGCUUGACAUGGAUGGGAACAUGACUUCUUGGAAUGGCAAUGACAGAUGGAAUUACUUCUUAAGGGCUUCCAGAAACAAUUCAAUGCUCUGGAGAAUAAAAAGUAUUUUCGUUCUAUGAUCUCUUUGGUUGUGGCUAUUUUUGGAGAAUGAGCUACAGCUGGUGGACUUCUUUCAAAGGUGCCACAUACGAAGAGGAAGUCAGGAAGGAACAAAGUUUACUUCAUGCCCCUUAUUUGGUAAACAGAGCCUCUCAGUUGGUUUCAUCCUACUGCAUACCAGUGCGAGUCUUGUGACUGAGCUCAUGACGCAGUUGAUUUCUCCCAAUGUGUUCUCAAUUGAUAGCAGAUGGGGGUCAACAAUAUUGAUCAGUCGUGCUGGAUAUGCCAUUUCUGCAUACUUCUGCAAUGUCAAUCCAUCAGUAAACAUGUCAUUUGUAGGCGCCUUCCCUGUAAACAUCUCAAGGAGCACUAUACCAAAGCUAUAUACAUCACCAGAUGGAGAAAUUUGACCACAUUCAGCAUAUUCUGGAGCAAUAUAUCCAAUUGUUCCCAUUAGCCCUACAGAACUCUUUGAGUUGAUCAAUUGCUCUCCUUCUGGGUCAGUGAGAAUCUUGGCAAGGCCAAGGUCUCCAACAUGCGCAACCAUGUCCUCCCCAAGAAGAAUGUUGCUGGGCUUGAAAUCACAGUGAACUAUUGUUGGACGGCAGCUGUUGUGCAAAUAAUCUAGUGCAGCGGCGAUAUCAGAAGCAAUGCUCAAUCUCUGCAUUAGUGUUAGAACUUUAACUGGAUCUGAUGAGUGUACCUCCGGAUGUAACCAUUUAUCAAGGUUUCCGUGAGGCAUGAACUUGAAUACUAUGGCUUUAAAGUCAUUUUGAUUCAAGCCAGAGCAAGAACAGCAAGUUAUGACACCAAUCAAGUUGCGAUGGCGGAUUUUGCUAAUUGCGUUACACUCAGCCACAAAACUUUUGGAAGAACCAGAUUGUUCAAGAUUGAAAACCUUGAUAGCUACAGUAGUUUCUGACUUUUUGAGCAGCAUUGUCCCCUUAUAAACAGAUCCAUACCGUCCAGUGCCAACCAAAUUGUUGACAUUGAAGCCAUUCGUUGAUUGAAACAGUUCAUAAUAGGAUACUCGAGGAUACACGCCAUCUGGCAGAGGGGCUACCGUUGUUCGCAUGGAUGAAGGUCUUAGUUUCUUCCGUAUAGAGAAGGCAACAGCUGCCAGGAUAAAGCACACAAAGAUUGUAACAGCAGUCGGAAUAACCACUUUUUGAGUGACUAGGAGUAUACUUCGACUAUGUCCCAUGGGUUUGGUUGGGCAUGAAGGCAAAUGAAGCUCACCAAUACCACCACAAAGCUUAUCAUUCCCAUCAAACUUAAACCCUGUCAAAUUGGCAAACACUCCAUGUGCUGGGACUUGGCCAUCAAGGUUAUUAAAGGAUAUGUCAAGCCAAUAUAAUGAUGUCAUGUUUUCCAUGUUCUCUGGGAUUUGUGCAGAUAGAUUAUUGUGUGAAAGAUAUAGCUCUUUCAGUCCAUCCAUGAGUCCUAAGUCCUGAGGAAUUGCACCAAAAAAACUAUUUUUGGUCAAAUUUAGCAGUACUAAUCCUCGCAUUUUGCUCACUGAUACAGGAAUGGUACCAUUAAAGAAGUUAUCGUCCAAAUGAAGUUCCAUCAAGCUCUGACAGUUGCUGAGACUAUUUGGUAGCAACCCAGAAAAGUUGUUACUGUACAUGUAUAAGUAUGUAAGUUUUGUGAGACCACCUACUGCUGAUGGAAGAGAACCGCUAAAAUGAUUCCUUGACAGAUCCAGAACGUACGACAAGGAUGGAAGAUUAAAAAUCUCUCCAGGUAAUUGAUCUCUAAGUUUAUUGUUUGAAAAGGUUGCGAUGAUAAGUUGUUGCAGGUUCCCAAUGCUUGCUGGCAAUGGCCCCUCCAAGCUAUUGUUAUCUAGAGAGAGUUGCUGCAGUUGCGUUAAGUUUCCGAGUGAGGAUGGUAUGAUCCCAGACAAUAGGUUAUUUUCUAGUGUCAAGUACUGCAGUGUUUCAAGCCUUCCUAUGCUGUCAGGUAUCGGACCACUGAAACGAUUGUUAGAGAGACCCAACUUAAUUAAUUUGAGGAAGUUGUUAAUACCAUCUGGUAUUUUACCUGAAAUUUUGUUAAAUCCGAUAUCCAGGAGUUCGAGCUGUGCUGAUAGGUUGGUGAUAGAGUUUGGCAGUGCUCCACCAAGCCUGUUGUUUUGUAUUGUCACAGCACGAAGUCUUGUGCAAUUUGUCAAUAACGUGACGAACCUCCAGUCCUUGACACUGGUUGCCUUCAGCUGGUUUCUUUGCAGCAUCAGGUAUUUCAGGCAGAGCAUUCCAAUCUCCGGAGGUAUGAUUCCGGUGAAGUUGUUAGAAGAGAGGUCUAUGGAGCGCAUGUUGGUUGCAUUUGCUAUUGAAGGUGGGAUGCUUCCUGUGAAAUGGUUCAAGGCAAUGAUGAAGUACUGGAUUUUUGGUAGGCCAUUGCCCAAAUCGGAAGGCAAUCUUCCAUGCAACUCAUUCUCCUGCAGGCCAAUGUGGAUCAGCGAGGAAAGGUUGAGGAGUGUUCUUGGAAUGGUGCCUGACAGAUGAUUUACUUGCAGUGCCAACCUCUCAAGACUGCUGAUCUUGCCAAGGGCCUCAGGGAUUGGGCCAGUGAGGUGAUUCUCAUUGAGGAAAAGUUCCGACAGCGCCGAGAGGUUGCCAAGUGAUUGCGGGAUGAUCCCGGUGAAGAUGUUCUUCCCUAGUGAAAUGGAAUUGAGCUUCGGAAAACCUCCAAACCAAUCAGGGAUUUUUCCGUUCAGGCUGUUUAAGUCAAGUUUGAUGCUAGCAAGGUUAGUGCAGUUCCUUAGUUCAUCAGUGAUCUCGCCUUGAAGUGAAUUGUUUGACAGGUACAGGUAGGAUAACUGCGGUAGCUGGCCAAUUGUCCAAGGAAUUUCACCUUGGAAUGAAUUGUUUGACAAGUCGAGAUAUGACAACUUCGACAGCCGACCAAUCGUCAAAGGGAUUUCACCAUAAAGUUGAUUGCAACUAAGAUCUAGACUUCUCAAAUAUGUGAGAUUCCCAAUGGAAGCGGAUAUGUAGCCAUGGAGCCCAGUCGAGCCAGUGCAUCUGACUGAUGUCUUAGACCUGCCUUGAAUCCUAGCAAGGCAUCCAGAUCAGUGUUAUUGCUGAAAGGCAAUCCUUGAGUACAUGAAGCUGAUGCCAGUAGGAGCAGAUAUGGCAAGAGAAGCAAUUUUAGGGCAGUAAACAUUUUGAAGCACUUUUCUGGCAUCUAAAAACAAAAAAGAAUU